rnacentral:rRNA from 1 species
AUGUGGAUUAGUGGCGCACGGGUGAGUAACGCAUAGAUGACAUGCCCUUUAGUUUGGAAUAGCCACUAGAAAUGGUAAUUAAUACCAAAUACUACCCUACGGGGGAGAAGAUUUAUCGGCUAAAGGAUUGGUGCUAUGUCCUAUCAGCUUGUUGGUGAGGUAAAGGCUCACCAAGGCAAUGACGGGUAUCCGGCCUGAGAGGGUGAACGGACACACUGGAACUGAGACACGGUCCAGACUCCGUACGGGAGGCAGCAGUAGGGAAUAUUGCUCAAUGGGCGCAAGCCUGAAGCAGCAACGCCGCGUGGAGGAUGAAGGUUUUAGGAUUGUAAACUCCUUUAAGUCAGAGAAGAUC